AGAGACAGCAGUCGCCGCGGGAAUACGUAGGGUGCAAGCGUUAAUCGGAAUUACUGGGCGUAAAGCGUGCGCAGGCGGUUAUAUAAGACAGAUGUGAAAUCCCCGGGCUCAACCUGGGAACUGCAUUUGUGACUGUAUAGCUAGAGUACGGCAGAGGGGGAUGGAAUUCCGCGUGUAGCAGUGAAAUGCGUAGAUAUGCGGAGGAACACCGAUGGCGAAGGCAAUCCCCUGGGCCUGUACUGACGCUCAUGCACGAAAGCGUGGGGAGCAAACAGGAUUAGAUACCCCCGUAGUCCCUGUCUCUUAUAC
rnacentral:rRNA from 1 species